AGAACGAACGCUGGCGGCAGGCCUCAAACAUGCAAGUCUAGGGGGCGUAGCAAUACGUCACCGGCGGACGGGUGCGUAACACGUGGGAAUGUACUUACUGGUUCGGAACAACUCAGGGAAACUUGAGCUAAUACCGAAUGUGCCCGAAAGGGGAAAGAUUUAUCGCCAGUAAAUCAGCCCGCGUCCGAUUAGCUAGUUGGCGGGGUAAAGGCCCACCAAGGCGACGAUCGGUAGCUGUUCUGAGAGGAAGAUCAGCCACACUGGGACUGAGACACGGCCCCAGACUCCUACGGGAGGCAGCAGUUGGGAAUCUUGGACAAUGGGGGAAACCCUGAUCCAGCCAUGCCGCGUGAGUGAUGAAGGCCUUCGGGUUGUAAAACUCUUUCGACGGGGACGAUAAUGACGGUACCCGUAGAAGAAGCUCCGGCUAACUUCGCGCCAGCAGCCGC
rnacentral:rRNA from 1 species